rnacentral:rRNA from 1 species
UUGAAAGGGAAACGAUUGAAGUCAGUCGUACCGACGGAAAAUCAACUUCUCGGGUGCCAAUCGUGGGUGACGUUGAGCCUCACGGUCUUCGUCGCUUGUGUUGUUGGUAUCUUUGGAGUGUAUUUUUUCGUACGGUAGGUCAACAUCGAUUUUGAUCGUCAUAAAAUGAUCGGAGGAAUGUAGCUUUGAUUUCGAUCGAAGUGUUAUAGCCUUUGGUAGAUGUGACGAUUGGGAUCGAGGAUUGCAACGAAUACCCUUUGGGCUAUCCGUCUGGCCUCUGAAAGUCGCUUGGGAGUCGAAAGCUUGCUUAUGACUAUUCAAGUUGGCGGCCAACAGGUUAGAACGCGAUUACAUUCGUUAAGGAUGUUGACGUA